rnacentral:rRNA from 1 species
UAGGGAAUCUUCCGCAAUGGACGAAAGUCUGACGGAGCAACGCCGCGUGAGUGAAGAAGGAUUUCGGUUCGUAAAACUCUGUUGUUAGGGAAGAAAAAAUGUAUAGUAACUAUAUACAAAAGAGACGGUACCUAACCAGAAAGCCACGGCUAACUACGUGCCAGCAGCCGCGGUAAUACGUAGGUGGCAAGCGUUGUCCGGAAUUAUUGGGCGUAGAGCGCGCGCAGGUGGUUUAGAAAGUCUGAUGUGAAAGCCCACGGCUCAACCGUGGAGGGUCAUUGGAAACUAAUAAACUUGAGUGCAGGAGAGAAAAGUGGAAUUCCUAGUGUAGCGGUGAAAUGCGUAGAGAUUAGGAGGAACACCGGUGGCGAAAGCGGCUUUUUGGCCUGCAACUGACACUGAGGCGCGAAAGCGUGGGGAGCAAACAGG